rnacentral:rRNA from 1 species
GGAUGCUGACGAGUGGCGAACGGGUGAGUAAUACAUCGGAACGUGCCCGAGAGUGGGGGAUAACGAAGCGAAAGCUUUGCUAAUACCGCAUACGAUCUCAGGAUGAAAGCAGGGACGCAAGCUUGCGCUCACGGAGCGGCCGAUGGCAGAUUAGGUAGUUGGUGGGAUAAAAGCUUACCAAGCCGACGAUCUGUAGCUGGUCUGAGAGGACGACCAGCCACACUGGGACUGAGACACGGCCCAGACUCCUACGGGAGGCAGCAGUGGGGAAUUUUGGACAAUGGGCGCAAGCCUGAUCCAGCCAUGCCGCGUGCAGGAUGAAGGCCUUCGGGUUGUAAACUGCUUUUGUACGGAACGAAAAGACUCUGGUUAAUACCUGGGGUCCAUGACGGUACCGUAAGAAUAAGCACCGGCUAACUACGUGCCAGCAGCCGCGGUAAUACGUAGGGUGCGAGCGUUAAUCGGAAUUACUGGGCGUAAAGCGUGCGCAGGCGGUUAUGUAAGACAGAUGUGAAAUCCCCGGGCUCAACCUGGGAACUGCAUUUGUGACUGCAUAGCUAGAGUACGGCAGAGGGGGAUGGAAUUCCGCGUGUAGCAGUGAAAUGCGUAGAUAUGCGGAGGAACACCGAUGGCGAAGGCAAUCCCUGGGCCUGUACUGACGCUCAUGCACGAAAGCGUGGGGAGCAAACAGGAUUAGAUACCUGGUAGUCCACGCCCUAAACGAUGUCAACUGGUUGUUGGUCUUCAC